CUCAUCGAGGAUUUGUGAAGAUCUCCAUAGCAAAACUUCCAAAAAAGUCCAACAACUUUCAUAGCAGAAUCAACAAACUGGAAGCUAAAUCCUUUAUUCAUUGAAAUCAGAUUCUUUUUUGUUGUUUACCAAUAGAUAAAGUGUUUUAGUUUGUGCUUUUUGAGGCAACUCAGAAUCGGGAAGAAGAAGAUGAUGAAGAGGAAUAAAACGAAGAAGAUUGUAAAUCUACUGGUGCUGCUAUUUCCGAUUGUGCGAGGUCAGUAGCUAUCUCACUUGGAAUAUCAGCUUAAAAAUAAUCAUGCACAGAGUUAGCUGAUGGAUCUUGCACAUCUGUCCUUAUGAGUUGGACCUUCGAGCCUCUUGAGUCCCUGGAUGACGUGCUGCUGAGCAUUACAGUUGGGACACCUGUUGCAACUUCGAAUCCAUGAACUGGCUUAAUGGAUUGAUCUCACAUAACAUAUUGAACAAGGAGACUUGAAUCAACCUGGUACCGUCAAUUGGCCCACUGGAUUUAGUUUUCCUGCUCUCUGGUGAUCACUCAUUGUGUACCGAAUCCCCUCAUGGUCGAGGUAUAUAUAAAUAUUUAAAUUUUCAGUUCAUUUCGAGUUCAGUGAGUAACUAUUACAUUUAAAUUUGAGAUAUUUUGUAAAAGGGUCAUAUGUUUUAUGCCUAAUUAGGGUCUGGGUCCUAAAACAUGCAGUUGAUGCGUUAGGGUCGUAGACUACCUUUGACCGUUUGAAAACUUUACCAAAGUGCCUUAUUAAAUUGUAAUAUUGCCAUUAUAUCCUAACCAUGUUUAACCCCCGUGAAAACUUGAAGCACUGACUAAAUAUUAAAUAUUAUACCCUUACUAAAUAGUUGUGGAUGAUGAAAAUGUGCGUAUGGUUAGAGAUCUUCUUUAUCUUCCAUCCCCUCUUUUCAGCCAUUACCAUACCGUAUCCACUCCACUGUAAACCAGAAACACCACUACUGUACUUAGAAACUAGCAUAUCUUUCUUCAACUGAUAAAUCUUCAAUAUGAUUAUAGAUUCAUCAUCGCGGAGGAAGUAAGUGUGUCUGAUAUUUCUCAACCGAUUCUGCGAACCUUAAUAAAAGUCCCUAAAUGAAAUCCGUAGUUCUGGUAAGGUCCAUUUGUGAGAGGAUCAGAGGAGUGUUGCGGAGCUUGUAAUGAUUGGGUAAUUUGAGUUACGAAAUAUGGAUUUCCUAAGCUCUUUCAUCUCAAACCUGGGAAAUUAAAAAACAGUUUAAGUUUUAUUUUUGUUUAAUUGAUAAUUGUUAGUGUUUGUGUUGUUAUAUGCAAUCUAUAUCAAUGGGUUUUGUUGAAUUGUGGACUAGUUGAUUUUCCUAGUUGAUUUUAAUGGAAUAGGCAUUUGCCAUUUGAUUUAGUUUUUUUAUGAAUUCAGUUGAUUAAUUGGAACAUAUGAUGGGAGUGACUUUAAUUUUUUUAAUGUUGUUUUGUUGAAUCACUACUUUGUUGAUUGAUUAAAUGAGUUCGGGAAGACUUGUUGAUUGAUUAAUUGAGUUCAGGAAGACGGAAGAAGAUAGAAGAGAGCGAAGUGUGGGUUUUAACAAUACUCUAACAGUCACCACGAGUCAACCGAUGGUCAGGGUGUAUCGUAUAGAAAAAAAUCUGCUAACAGUUUUGUAACAGUCUUCGUUAGUCUACGACCUAAAUGCAGCAAUUGCAUGUUUCACGACCCAGACCCUAAUUAGCUACUAAAUAUACGACCCUUCUACAAAAUAACUCAAUUUUUUUUUCCCAAAUGUUUACAAGGUUACGGCUUCCUCGAAUUUUGUAUGUUUAUAUUUUAGGAUGUGCUAUCUGAAGCUUUAAAUUUAUAAGGAAUCUACGCGCAAUUGUUAUUUGAUAAGCUUUGAAUUUAUAUUAAAUCUACAUGCAAUUGUUAUUUCAUAAAUACUGGAAAAAAAAAAUCUCUUAUCGUUGUCUGUCUUAUAAUUUGUGUAUUUUAUGUAUACUAAUUUGUGUAUUUUAUGUAUCCAAAAGACUUUUUGCUGCAUAUUCUUAUCAAACUAUUCGUACCUUGCCUCCUUUCUUAGUAAGGUAUUUUGUUUGGUCUUGAGUGUUCUGCUUUGUAUUGCUUUUAGGCAUAAGACUUCUUUUGCUGUUGUUGUUUGGAGUAUUAAAUAGGUACUUUAGCUUUCGAAAUAUGGGCUUUCAAUGUUUACUUAUACUUCUGAAAUCCGACUGCUCUUUGUCUCAUGCUUUUAUCUAACUCAUAUAUAGAUAGUGAUGAGUAAAGAUUUGAAACUUGAAGUUCCAAGCCAUAUGACUCAUACACAAAUAAUACACAAUUCAUUGAUAUGGAUCUAUAUUUCGAUUGAGGACCAUGCUACGACCCAUUUCAAAAACUAAAUGUACGAAGUUAUUUAAAAGACGCCUUUGUAUAUAAUUUUCUUUGAUCAUUUAUUUAACCCAUAGACAUUGCCCCGACUGAAAAGUUCAAAAUUUGGCUGCCAGAAGAAACGGUUGCAGUGUUUUCUUGCAGGUUUUUGCCAAGUCAAGUCAAUUACAUGGGUUCUCUGCUGGGUCAUGUUCUACUGUUGGAACUGGUGGUCAUAUUUCUAGAGGUGGAUAUGGUCUUUUAUGAAGAAAAUAUGGUCAUGCUGCAAUUUCUAUUGGAUGUCAAUGGAUGCAACUAAUGAAUCGUCUGAUCUGAACAAAAACGGAGGAAGUCUUGCAAGAAAAGAAAGUUUGCAGGCAUGUCUACCUCUUACUUCUGAGUUUCACUCUAGAUGUUUAAUUUUCACUGCUAUGUUGUUGUUUUUUUUUUUGAACUUCGGUGUAGCUAAGACUGCUAAACAGAUGAAAAAGAAAAAGGCACGCAACAGUUCCAAUGUCAGUUUUCAGUUCACUUGAAUAUUCUCAUUUGUUACUAUAUUUGUUGAUUAUUUCACUUCUCGAGAAGGAACACAGAGCUGCAAACUAGCUAGAUAUCAAGAGAACAGUUUUUGUCUUUCACUUUCUAAAACUGCAUAUUGUAACUCUGCUUAUGUUUGGACAAAGUAUGUUGCUAAAUGUAAAGGAACUGAAUUUUGCAAGAGACUGCCUGGAUAUGAUGACGAUAGAGCCACUUAAAUAGGAGCAAAGGCUCUGAAAGAGCACGAGAAGGUCAUUCUACUUGCCCCAUAUUGAUUUGGUCUUGCAACUGGAUCCCCGCUGGAGUGCUACUGAGAGGUAUGUUCUUUACUGUUCAUUAGAAUCUGUCGCCCAUACUUUUGGGUCAUCGAGAGCAGGCAGAACAAUGGGUGCACCUCCAUACUGCCAAGUCUCUGAAAAUAUCUAGCACUUCAUUUAAGUCAGGUGAUACCACCACCACAACUCACAAGAGAUUUACUGAGAAUCAGCAACAUAUAUUCCAAGUAAUUAGCGAUCACUUGAUUUCUUAUCUCAUAUAGUUCCUGAUACUCCACAAAAGAAGACACGAAAGAAUGAGCUGUAGGUUUUGUUUACUUAUUUAUUUGUUACAUAGAAGAUCAACUAAGAAAGGGGACAUGAAGAAACCAUUUGAAGUAUCCAUUGUAUAUUUCCUUUACGUGUAUAUUUCAAAUAUUACUCGAAUCAGAGUUACUUGGUACAAUCUUAAUUUACAUUAUCCAAAAGGAUUAAUUGUAAGUUUAUGAAGAACAUAUACUGUGUUUCUCA